rnacentral:rRNA from 1 species
UACGUAGGUGGCAAGCGUUGUCCGGAUUUAUUGGGUUUAAAGGGUGCGUAGGUGGUCUAUUAAGUCAGUGCUGAAAUAUCCCGGCUUAACCGGGAGGGUGGCAUUGAUACUGAUGGACUUGAGUAAAGUUGAGGUAGGCGGAAUUGACGGUGUAGCGGUGAAAUGCUUAGAUAUCGUCAAGAACACCUAUUGCGAAGGCAGCUUACUAAGCUUUAACUGACACUGAGGCACGAAAGUGUGGGGAUCAAACAGG